rnacentral:tRNA from 2 species
GCCGGUGUGUUGGAAUUGGCAGACGAGACGGACUCAAAAUCCGUUGGUGGUGACACCGUAUGGGUUCGACCCCCAUCACCGGCACCA